AAGUUUGAAAUGAUGCUUUUACAUCUUUCGGGACUGAACCCAAAUGGUGACAACUUAACUACUACUGAUCACUU